rnacentral:piRNA from 1 species
UGCCUAAGCUUGAAAUACAAUGCGAAAUGC